CACACCUUGGUGGUGGAAUCAGAAAGUCACUCUCAUGGUUACUUUAAUGCGUUGGCUUGACUGGGCCACAGGAAACCCAGAUAUCUGGUCAAAUAUUAUUCUGAGUGUUUCUGAAGGAGCAUUUUUGGAUGACAUUAACAUAUUCAUCAGGAGAGUAAGGCAGAUUGCCCUCCACCAUGUGAGUGGGCCUCGGCCAAUCAGGUGACGGCUUGAAUCAAACAAAAAGACCAGCCUUCCCCCCCCAAGUGAGGGUGACUUCUCCAGUCUACUGCCUUGGACUUCACCUCUGACAUAGGCUCUUCCUGCACAGCGCACUCGCUCCUCCACAACUGCAUGAGCCAAUUCCUUAUCCUAAGCUCUCUCUCUCACUCUCCCUCCAUAUCCUUUUCAUUCUGUUCCUCUGCAGACCCCUCACUAAUACAUUUGCUAAAGGGCAGCUAGCCAUCUACAAGGAGGGUAAUGAAGUGCGGCCUCCCAUCAUGGCACCCCAGAGAGUGACCCAGUCGCAGCCCUGCUCCCCUGCUCAGGGGCCCCCGGAACUCUUACUGGAGCACAUCCUUUCCUGGUCUGGGAAUACAGCAGGAGCUUGGGGAGUCAGGUUUGGCUCAGGUUUGGUGGGAACGAAAACCUCAGCAUUGUCCUUCCGCUUUGCAGACAAAUUCCUUUCCCUUUUAUGACCUGUAGGAAAACAAUUGUUUCAUGUAAGACGCUGAGCGCAAGCAAGUUGGGCAUUCUGUUCAGGCAUUUGUUCAUCAUUCAUUCACUUACUCAUUCAACAAAUGUCUACGGAACUACUUUGUGCAGUUUGGGAUUAGAGAUGUGAAUAAUGCAGGCGACGAAACAAGUUUGCUGAGAGUCAUGGUGUGCCCAGCACCACAUUUUGGGACUAUGUGCUGGUGACCCUUAGAAGUCAGACCCCAGCCUCACCGACCCCUGGUCACUGGGCGCCUCUGAAUGCUGACCUCCAGCCCAAGGUCUGCUCAUCAAACUGUGUGAAAUGAACGCAAGAGUGAAGGAACACAGCGGCGAGUCAAGGACAGAAUAAAUAACUGUCAGAAAGUUCCCCGAGGGGCCACUGCAGCACCGAGCCUCGCCGUCCUUCAGGUGUCCCGAGCACAAGGCCAAGGCCAUCCCUACCUGCGGACGAUCCUCAGAAGUGUUGUUUGCCUGGAGAGUCACAUCCCCACACAGCUCAAAAUCAUCAGAAUAGUCCACAGGAGGUUCGAUGUGGAGCCGUGGGCCAGCUUCUGUUCUGAUCUGCACAGAUUUCUGUACAAAAAUGCAGGCCAUUUCAGAUAAGGUGGAAUGAGGUCUUUAUUCCUCUGCGGGGCAGGGACUGGCACUGGAGAGGUUCAGCCAGGAUCUAUGGGCAUAGAUACCAUGGGGUGGUGUGCCUGCAUGCAACAGCAGUGGUGUCAUGAUGAGCAUGGGCCACAGGCCUCCUCCUCAUCCGGGCCAGCACUGGAUGGGCCAUGCCACCUCGCUCAAGAGUCUACUGUUUCUUGCUGUCCAAAGAACGUGCAGGAGAAUUUUUAAAAAUAACUU
rnacentral:lncRNA from 1 species